rnacentral:tRNA from 1 species
GAGGAUAUAGCUCAAGUGGUAGAGCAUGUGCUUAGCAUGCACGAGGUCCUGGGUUCAAUUCCCAGCACUCCCU